UACGUAGGGUGCAGGCGUUAAUCGGAAUUACUGGGCGUAAAGCGUGCGCAGGCGGUCUGCUAAGAGAGGUGUGAAAUCCCCCGGGCUUAACCUGGGAACUGCGCUUCUAACUGGCAGGCUUGAGUGUGGCAGAGGGGGGUGGAAUUCCACGUGUAGCAGUGAAAUGCGUAGAGAUGUGGAGGGAAACACCCGAUGGGCGGAAAGGGCCAGCCCCCCC
rnacentral:rRNA from 1 species